CGGCGGGUGGUACGAGUCAACAGUGGUGAUUGACUGCUACUGCAAGGAAUUGAACAGAGAGUCGAACGAAAACUUUGAUCAAUUUUUUUUGUCUGCCCUGUUUGUGAAAUCAGAAAAUCAUUAAAUCUAACAAUGACUCAUGUAAAAUGA
ensembl:ncRNA F11D5.32 ncRNA